ensembl:lncRNA
GUUUAUUGCAAAUAUCUUUGACUUGUUUUUAUGUCUUAUAAUGUUUAUGUGUGUAUGUAUGUCUUGUAAUGUUUAUGUGUGUAUUUAUGUCUUGUAUUGCUGGUAAGUAACUUUCUUGCACUGAGGUCUGAUUAUUGCAAAUAUCUUUGACUUGUUUUUAUGUCUUAUAAUGUUUAUGUGUGUAUUUAUGUCUUGUAUUGCUGGUAAGUAACUUUCUUGCACCGAGGUCUGUUUGUUGCAAAUAUCUUUGAUCUGCUUUUUUUUGUCUUAUAAUGUUUAUGUGUGUAUUUAUGUCUUGUAAUGUUUAUGUGUGUAUUUAUGUCUUGUAUUGCUGUUAAAUGUGUAAUUAUGUCUUGUAUUGCUGGUAAGUAACUUUCUUGCACUGAGGUCUGUUUAUUGCAAAUAUCUUUGACCUGUUUUUUUGUCUUAUAAUGUUUAUGUGUGUAUGUAUGUCUUGUAAUGUUUAUGUGUGUAUUUAUGUCUUGUAUUGCUGGUAAGUAACUUUCUUGCACUGAGGUCUGGUUAUUGCAAAUAUCUUUGACUUGUUUUUAUGUCUUAUAAUGUUUAUGUGUGUAUUUAUGUCUUGUAUUGCUGGUAAGUAACUUUCUUGCACUGAGGUCUGUUUAUUGCAAAUAUCUUUGACUUGUUUUUAUGUCUUAUAAUGUUUAUGUGUGUAUUUAUGUCUUGUAUUGCUGGUAAGUAACUUUCUUGCACUGAGGUCUGUUUAUUGCAAAUAUCUUUGACUUGUUUUUAUGUCUUAUAAUGUUUAUGUGUGUAUUUAUGUCUUAUAAUGUUUAUGUGUGUAUUUAUGUCUUAUAAUGUUUAUGUGUGUAUUUAUGUCUUGUAUUGCUGGUAAGUAACUUUCUUGCACUGAGGUCUGUUUAUUGCAAAUAUCUUUGAUCUGUUUUUUUGUCUUGUAAUGUUUAUGUGUGUAUUUAUGUCUUGUAUUGCUGGUAAGUAACUUUCUUGCACUGAGGUCUGUUUAUUGCAAAUAUCUUUGACUUGUUUUUAUGUCUUAUAAUGUUUAUGUGUGUAUGUAUGUCUUAUAAUGUUUAUGUGUGUAUUUAUGUCUUGUAUUGCUGGUAAGUAACUUUCUUGCACUGAGGUCUGAUUAUUGCAAAUAUCUUUGACUUGUUUUUAUGUCUUAUAAUGUUUAUGUGUGUAUUUAUGUCUUGUAUUGCUGGUAAGUAACUUUCUUGCACUGAGGUCUGUUUAUUGCAAAUAUCUUUGACCUGUUUUUAUGUCUUAUAAUGUUUAUGUGUGUAUUUAUGUCUUGUAUUGCUGGUAAGUAACUUUCUUGCACUGAGGUCUGAUUAUUGCAAAUAUCUUUGACUUGUUUUUAUGUCUUAUAAUGUUUAUGUGUGUAUUUAUGUCUUGUAUUUCUGGUAAGUAACUUUCUUGCACUGAGGUCUGAUUAUUGCAAAUAUCUUUGACUUGUUUUUAUGUCUUAUAAUGUUUAUGUGUGUAUUUAUGUCUUAUAUUGCUGUUAAAUGUGUAUUUAUGUCUUGUAUUGCUGGUAAGUAACUUUCUUGCACUGAGGUCUGUUUGUUGCAAAUAUCUUUGACUUGUUUUUAUGUCUUAUAAUGUUUAUGUGUGUAUUUAUGUCUUAUAUUGCUGUUAAAUGUGUAAUUAUGUCUUGUGUUGCUGGUAAGUAACUUUCUUGCACUGAGGUCUGUUUGUUGCAAAUAUCUUUGAUCUGUUUUUUUUUCUUAUAAUGUUUAUAUUUGUAUUUAUGUCUUAUAAUGUUUAUGUGUGUAUUUAUGUCUUAUAAUGUUUAUGUGUGUAUUUAUGUCUUAUAAUGUUUAUGUGUGUAUUUAUGUCUUAUAAUGUUUAUGUGUGUAUUUAUGUCUUGUAUUGCUGGUAAGUAACUUUCUUGCACUGAGGUCUGUUUAUUGCAAAUAUCUUUGAUCUGGUUUUUAAUUUCUUAUAAUGUUUAUGUGUGUAUGUAUGUCUUAUAAUGUUUAUGUGUGUAUUUAUGUCUUGUAUUGCUGGUAAGUAACUUUCUUGCACUGAGGUCUGUUUAUUGCAAAUAUCUUUGAUCUGUUUUUUUGUCUUAUAAUGUUUAUGUGUGUAUGUAUGUCUUAUAAUGUUUAUGUGUGUAUUUAUGUCUUGUAUUGCUGGUAAGUAACUUUCUUGCACUGAGGUCUGUUUGUUGCAAAUAUCUUUGAUCUGCUUUUUUUUGUCUUAUAAUGUUUAUGUGUGUAUUUAUGUCUUAUAAUGUUUAUGUGUUUAUUUAUGUCUUGUAUUGCUGGUAAGUAACUUUCUUACACUGAGGUCUGUUUAUUGCAAAUAUCUUUGACUUGUUUUUUUGUCUUAUAAUGUUUAUGUGUGUAUUUAUGUCUUAUAAUGUUUAUGUGUGUAUUUAUGUCUUGUAAUGUUUAUGUGUGUAUUUAUGUCUUGUAUUGCUGGUAAGUAACUUUCUUGCACUGAGGUCUGUUUAUUGCAAAUAUCUUUGACUUGUUUUUAUGUCUU